UUUUCAGCCCCAGAGCUGCUUGGACAUAAAUCAAGAUGAAGUAUUUUGACCAUGUUGUCCGCCCUAUUUCUCCUUGUCCUCCCCUGUUGUCAGCCCUCUCCUCCCACUGCUUCCUCUGCUGAGUGAGAUACUGGACGGACGGGGAGCAGAUGGCGCGGCCGCCAUACGUUUACGAGGCGGUCUGCUGCUGUUGGUUUUAUUGCUGAUUUGAGCUGAUUUGAGCCGAGCGGAGCCGCGAUUGGACCUGCUCCGGACUAGAGACGAGCCAGGCCCGCCUCGCUUCCAAGCAGGCCGCAACUGUGGCCAACCCGUAACAAGCCCCCGCCUGACCCUUAAACAAGUGUGUGUGUGGUGCAAAUUGACACUCAGCUCAUAUCUGUGCAGGAAACCUGAGAGAGACGUUUUUAACAAGUUCAGCUCUCAGUACUUUUUGUAGCUUCUGACCGAUUCUCUUUAGUUUCUCUCGUCCUGUUUGUCCUUUCAAACAUCUGCUGUGUUUUACUGUUUCAGGACUCGUGUGUUGUUGUGAAAACGCAACAUUUCC